AGUGAACGCUGGCGGUAGGCCUAACACAUGCAAGUCGAACGGCAGCACAGUAAGAGCUUGCUCUUACGGGUGGCGAGUGGCGGACGGGUGAGGAAUACAUCGGAAUCUACUUUUUCGGGGGGGAUAACGUAGGGAAACUUACGCUAAUACCGCAUACGACCUACGGGUGAAAGCAGGGGAUCUUCGGACCUUGCGCGAUUGAAUGAGCCGAUGUCGGAUUAGCUAGUUGGCGGGGUAAAGGCCCACCAAGGCGACGAUCCGUAGCUGGUCUGAGAGGAUGAUCAGCCACGCUGGAACUGAGACACGGUCCAGACUCCUACGGGAGGCAGCAGUGGGGAAUAUUGGACAAUGGGCGCAAGCCUGAUCCAGCCAUACCGCGUGGGUGAAGAAGGCCUUCGGGUUGUAAAGCCCUUUUGUUGGGAAAGAAAAGCAGCAGGUUAAUACCCCGCUGUUCUGACGGUACCCAAAGAAUAAGCACCGGCUAACUUCGUG
rnacentral:rRNA from 1 species